GAUGAACGCUGGCGGCGUGCCUAAUACAUGCAAGUCGAGCGAACGGACGAGAAGCUUGCUUCUCUGAUGUUAGCGGCGGACGGGUGAGUAACACGUGGAUAACCUACCUAUAAGACUGGGAUAACUUCGGGAAACCGUAGCUAAUACCGGAUAAUAUUUUGAACCGCAUGGUUCAAAAGUGAAAGACGGUCUUGCUGUCACUUAUAGAUGGAUCCGCGCUGCAUUAGCUAGUUGGUAAGGUAACGGCUUACCAAGGCAACGAUGCAUAGCCGACCUGAGAGGGUGAUCGGCCACACUGGAACUGAGACACGGCCCAGACUCCUACGGGAGGCAGCAGUAGGGAAUCUUCCGCAAUGGGCGAAAGCCUGACGGAGCAACGCCGCGUGGGUGAAGAAGGUCUUCGGGUCGUAAAACUCUGUUAUUAGGGAAGAACAUAUGUGUAAGUAACUGUGCACAUCUUGACGGUACCUAAUCAGAAAGCCACGGCUAACUACGUG
rnacentral:rRNA from 1 species